UUUUCCUUCUUUUGAGUGUGAGCUCGACUUAGUGACUUGCUUCUAAUGAAUAAAAUAUAGCAGGAGUGAGAGGAAAUCUUCUGAGACUAGAUCAUAAAAGGCAUUGUGACUUCUUCUUUGAUCUCUCUUGUUGGAUCGUUUGCUCUGUGGGAAGCCAGCUUGCAUGUCGUGAGGACUCUCACACAGCCCUAUUCAGAGGUCUACGUGGUCAACAACUGAAGCUUCCUGACAACACCCAGCACCACCUUGCCAGGCCUGUGAAUGAAUGAUCAGCUUAAAAGUGAAUCUGCUAGUCCCAGUCAAGCCUUCAGGUAACUGUAAUCCCAGCCAACAUCUAGACUGUAACCUCGUGAGAGAACCUGAACCAGAACUACCCAGAUCCUUUGAACUCUUUCAAGCUACGUUUCAAGACUUUCUGGGCUUUGACGGGGCUGGGCAUUCACUGUAAAAGCAGUCAAUGCCUCAGUGAGACCACAAGCAAAACUGUGAGUGUCUUAAGCAGAGACCACACAACUCUUAUAUGGAAUAUUCUCUUCACAUAUAAAUCAUUUCAUGAACUGACAUCGUAAUGUACACUACAGACCUAGUAAGAUUUCGUUUGAAAAAUGAGUCAGUUAAUUAAAGUUGCAUUGAUCCUGCAAAAUACAAAUGGGCUUCCAGUUGGUCAGUACCCAGCUCAGAACAAUCCAAUGAUUACCAUCAAACUUCGAAUCAAAUCCAAAUUCCUUAUCAUAGUCUACAGGACCCUACAUGAACUAGACAAGUCUCCAGGUUCAUUGACCCAGACAUCCAUAACAUCUGUGGGACCCAGACAAGAGACUUGUAACUGAAGAAGCCAUCAACCAAGAAAUUUCCAACAGACCCAGAUGGAAAAAGUCCCAACAAAAGCCUGUUUAGCCAAACGGGCCAGAAAAGAGCAAGAUAGCAGGACAAAAUCUCUGCCACCAUGUGAGAGAGAGCCUGAGUUAGCCUGCUGGAUGGUCAAAGAUGAGUGGUGCAGCUAAGUGACAGCCUGCUGACUUCUAGGCAUAUGAGUGAGGCCAGGCUUGAUCACCCGGCUGCCAGCUGGCCUGACAAAUAAUUGCAGAUACUUGAAAGAGUCCAGCAGAGAUCAGCCACCCCAGGUCAAAUAAACACCCAGCC